rnacentral:misc_RNA from 1 species
GAAAUGCGAUAAGUAAUGUGAAUUGCAGAAUUCAGUGAAUCAUCGAGUCUUUGAAUGCAUGUUGCGGUGUCUGCAGAGACACCAUGUCUGUUUGAGCGGGCGCACACGUCGACACGCUUCUCGUGCUGGCGGGCUACAACUGUGUUGUACUCGUCUGAAUGCAGCGCACCGGAUGCAAGGUCUGAACGGAGGUUGCAUCCGCAUGAGCAAUGCCCAUCAAAUCAGCCAGGACUACCCGCUAAACUUAA